AACGGAUGACACCGUGUCGGGCGGGCACUACGCCCGCCCGCCUGUGACGAGAAGUCCACUGAACCUUAUCAUUUAGAGGAAGGAGAAGUCGUAACAAGGUUUCCGUAGGUGAACCUGCGGAAGGAUCAUUGCCGAGAACAGACCGAGAGACCGUGAACCCGUACUUGCUCGGGACCUCGCAUCGUGUCCGCGAUCGCCUUCGAGUGCUCCGGACACGACAUGCGGGGGACGGACGAAACCCCGGCGCGGCCUGCGCCAAGGAACAUACGACAGGACGAACGCGCGUCGACGCCUUUGCGGCGGGGCGAUGUUCGCUCUCUAUCCAUACGACUCUCGGCAUGCGCGUAUGGCAACAAUGAAUCGAUGUUGAGGUGAGGCCAUUAAGUCAGUAAACGGCUUGCCGAAUUGAUACUUGGUGUGAAUUGAAUCCCGUGAACCAUCGAGUCUUUGAACGCAAGUUGCGCCCGAGGCCUUUCGGCCGAGGGCACGCCUGCCUGGGCGUCACGCCUUGUUUCGCUCCGUGCCCAUGCCCCUUAGGAGGCGGUCACCGUGCCUGGAGCACCAGCAGGAUGUCAUGGCCCCCCGUCGCCUUAAGGGGCUCAAGAGACCCGGAUCAGGCGAGCAGGUUUAUCCCCAAGGUUGUACCCGCUGAGUUUACUGUGCCGUGUGACGUAGUGGAUAAACGGCUCGCAAUGCGACCCCAGGUCAGGCGGGGAA
rnacentral:rRNA from 1 species